rnacentral:rRNA from 1 species
AUUGAACGCUGGCGGAAUGCUUUACACAUGCAAGUCGAACGGCAGCACGGACUUCGGUCUGGUGGCGAGUGGCGAACGGGUGAGUAAUGUAUCGGAACGUGCUCAGUCGUGGGGGAUAACGUAGUGAAAAUUACGCUAAUACCGCAUACGAUCUAUGGAUGAAAGCGGGGGAUCGCAAGACCUCGCGCGAUUGGAGCGGCCGAUAUCAGAUUAGGUAGUUGGUGGGGUAAAGGCCCACCAAGCCAACGAUCUGUAGCUGGUCUGAGAGGACGACCAGCCACACUGGAACGCGGACACGGUCCAGACUCCUACGGGAGGCAGCAGUGGGGAAUUUUGGACCAUGGGCGAAAGCCUGAUCCAGCCAUUCCGCGUGCAGGAUGAAGGCCCUCGGGUUGUAAACUGCUUUUGUACAGAACGAAAAGGUUUCUACUAAUACUAGGAGCUCAUGACGGUACUGUAAGAAUAAGCACCGGCUAACUACGUGCCAGCCGCCGCCGUAA